UACGGGGGGGGCAAGCGUUGUUCGGAAUUACUGGGCGUAAAGGGUGCGUAGGCGGCUUUGUAAGUCAGGAGUGAAAGUUUGCGGCUCAACCGUAAAAUUGCUUUUGAUACUACGAGGCUAGAAUUAGGAUGAGGUCAGCGGAAUGUGGCAUGUAGCGGUGAAAUGCAUAGAUAUGCCAUAGAACACCAAUUGCGAAGGCAGCUGGCUAGACCUGGAUUGACGCUGAGGCACGAAAGCGUGGGGAGCGAACAGG
rnacentral:rRNA from 1 species